GGUAAAGUCACUAAUGCCAGACAGUGACCUAAAGGAUGACACCUUCGUAAAAAAUUUGUUGUAUUAAAAACAAUUUUAAUAAAAUGACUCUUAUUACAAUAUCGUACGACACCUAGCACUAUCUCUGAAUAGUUCUCAAAAACUCCCAACAGCUUCUAAACGAAAUUGCCAAAUGGCUUCAGUCCUUGUAAAUCAGGUAACCGAGUGAGCACGCGUUCCGCCAUUUCUUAUUUUUGAGCUUAAGGACACCGAAAUUUGAAGGUUCAGAACGAUUUUGAACUCUAUUCCUAAUGAAAAGAUUACUGUAGAGAUAUCAACAAUUUUAGAUCACUUUUACUAAAGGUAGACAUGGUGUCUAUUAUUGGGAUAUACAUGAUGUCAAUUAUUGGUUCUAUUGUUCUAGACUGAUAAUUAUGCCGCU